rnacentral:hammerhead_ribozyme from 1 species
AUCCAGCUGACUAGUCCCGAAUAGGACAAAACGCACGUCCUGAAU